rnacentral:rRNA from 1 species
GAUGAACGCUGGCGGCGUGCCUAAUACAUGCAAGUCGAGCGAACAGACGAGGAGCUUGCUCCUCUGACGUUAGCGGCGGACGGGUGAGUAACACGUGGAUAACCUACCUAUAAGACUGGGAUAACUUCGGGAAACCGGAGCUAGUACCGGAUAAUAUAUUGAACCGCAUGGUUCAAUAGUGCAAGACGGAUUUGCUGUCACUUAUAGAUGGAUCCGCGCCGCAUUAGCUAGUUGGUAAGGUAACGGCUUACCAAGGCAACGAUGCGUAGCCGACCUGAGAGGGUGAUCGGCCACACUGGAACUGAGACACGGUCCAGACUCCUACGGGAGGCAGCAGUAGGGAAUCUUCCGCAAUGGGCGAAAGCCUGACGGAGCAACGCCGCGUGAGUGAUGAAGGUCUUCGGAUCGUAAAACUCUGUUAUUAGGGAAGAACAAAUGUGUAAGUAACUAUGCACGUCUUGACGGUACCUAAUCAGAAAGCCACGGCUAACUACGUG